rnacentral:rRNA from 1 species
GCACAACGCGAAGAACCUUACCUAGGCUUGACAUGCACUGUGUCUACGGUGAAAGCCGUAUAGCGUAGCAAUACACGCUUUGCACAGGUGCUGCAUGGCCGUCGUCAGCUCGUGUCGUGAGAUGUUGGGUUAAGUCCCGCAACGAGCGCAACCCUUGUGAACAGUUGCCAGCACUUAAGGUGGGAACGUCUGUUCAGACUGCCCANGAUCAACUGGGAGGAAGGUGGGGACGACGUCAGGUCAGUAUGGCCCUUACGCCUAGGGCUGCACACGUACUACAAUGCCCAGCACAAUGAGAACCGAGACCGCGAGGUGGAGGAAAUCUAAAAAACUGGGCCCAGUUCGGAUUGGAGGCUGCAACUCGCCUCCAUGAAGUUGGAAUCGCUAGUAAUGGCGCAUCAGCUACGGCGCCGUGAAUACGUUCCCGGGUCUUGUACACACCG